UACGUAGGGCCCAAGCGUUGUCCGGAAUUAUUGGGCGUAAAGAGCUCGUAGGUCGUUUGUUACGUCGGAUGUGAAAACCUGAGGCUCAACCUCAGGCCUGCAUUCGAUACGGGCAAACUAGAGUUUGGUAGGGGAGACUGGAAUUCCUGGUGUAGCGGUGGAAUGCGCAGAUAUCAGGAGGAACACCAAUGGCGAAGGCAGGUCUCUGGGCCAAUACUGACACUGAGGAGCGAAAGUCUGGGGAGCGAACAGG
rnacentral:rRNA from 1 species